AGGGGUAAGAGCUGAGAUCGGGCGUAAGAGCUCGUACGCGGUUUGUCGGGUCUGCUGUGCAGGCGGGGGGUCGACCCCGGGUGUGCAGUGGGUACGGGCAGACUAGAGUGCAGAAGGGGACACUAAAAUUCCUGGUGUAGCGGUGAAAUGCGCAGAUAUCAGGAGGAACACCGAUGGCGAAGGCAGGUCUCUGGGCUGUAACUGACGCUGAGGAGCGAAAGCAUGGGGAGCGAACAGGAUUAGAUACCCUGGUAGUCCAUGCCGUAAACGUUGGGCACUAGGUGUGGGGGACAUUCCACGUUUUCCGCGCCGUAGCUAACGCAUUAAGUGCCCCGCCUGGGGAGUACGGCCGCAAGGCUAAAACUCAAAGGAAUUGACGGGGGCCCGCACAAGCGGCGGAGCAUGCGGAUUAAUUCGAUGCAACGCGAAGAACCUUACCAAGGCUUGACAUGGGCCGGACCGGGCUGGAAACAGUCCUUCCCUUCGGGGCCGGUUCACAGGUGGUGCAUGGUUGUCGUCAGCUCGUGUCGUGAGAUGUUGGGUUAAGUCCCGCAACGAGCGCAACCCUCGUUCCAUGUUGCCAGCGCGUAAUGGCGGGGACUCAUGGGAGACUGCCGGGGUCAACUCGGAGGAAGGUGGGGACGACGUCAAAUCAUCAUGCCCCUUAUGUCUUGGGCUUCACGCAUGCUACAAUGGCCGGUACAAUGGGUUGCGAUACUGUGAGGUGGAGCUAAUCCCAAAAAGCCGGUCUCAGUUCGGAUUGGGGUCUGCAACUCGACCCCAUGAAGUCGGAGUCGCUAGUAAUCGCAGAUCAGCAACGCUGCGGUG
rnacentral:rRNA from 1 species